AUGCAAGUGCAGGCGGCCGCUACCAUACGGCUUUGUCUUGCGGAUCUGGUCAUGUAUCAUGUCAGGGACGAAGAUACUCCUAAGGGAAUUUGGGACAAGUUGAAAUCAUUAUAUGUAUCGGCGACCAAUAAGUUGUAUUUGAAGCAAAAGUUCUAUGGGCUGAAGAUGUAGGAGAUGUCGGAUCUUGUGGAGCAUGUGAAUGCCUUUAAUCAAUUGGUCACGGAUCUAGCACGUCUGGAUGUGAAGAUUGAGGACGAGGAUAAGGCACUACUUCUUGUUUUGUUGCCACCGUCCUAUGAGCAUUUGGUCAUUACAUUGACACAUGGAAAGACAACCGUCAAUAAUAAGGAAGUCACUGCAGCGUUGCUUGGACAUGAGUUGAGGAAGCAAAAGAAUGCUACAGAGGAGAGUACUCAAGGUUUGGGGUUGACAGUUAAAGGUUAUCAGUUCAGGAAGGGAUAA
rnacentral:rRNA from 1 species